rnacentral:rRNA from 1 species
CAGAGACUGCGAGCGUUAUUCGGAUUCACUGGGCGUAAAGGGUGCGCAGGCGGCCAAGUGUGUUAGGCGUGAAAGCCUGGGGCUUAACCUCAGAAUUGCACCUAAAACUACAUGGCUAGAGCAUUGGAGAGGGUAGCGGAAUUCACGGUGUAGCAGUGAAAUGCGUAGAUAUCGUGAGGAACACCAGAGGCGAAGGCGGCUACCUGGACAAUUGCUGACGCUCAGGCACGAAAGCGUGGGGAGCAAAAGGGAUUAGAUACCCCUGUAGUCCACGCCCUAAACGGUGCACACUAGGUCUUGGCGGAUUCGACCCACCAGGGCCCAAGCUAACGCGUUAAGUGUGCCGCCUGAGGAGUACGGCCGCAAGGUUA